AUUGAACGCUGGCGGCAGGCUUAACCCAUGCAAGUCGAACGAGUGGCGGACGGGUGAGUAAUGCUUGGGAAUCUGGCUUAUGGAGGGGGAUAACGACGGGAAACUGUCGCUAAUACCGCGUACCAUAGGAUGAGCCCAAGUGGGAUUAGGGAGUGGGUGGGGUAAUGGCGUACCAAGCCGACGAUCUCUCGAGGGUCUGAGAGGCUGACCGGCCACACCGGGACUGAGACACGGCCCGGACUCCUACGGGAGGCAGCAGUGGGGAAGAGUGCGCAAUGGGGGCAACCUGACGCAGCCAUGCCGCGUGAAUGAAGAAGGCCUUCGGGUUGUAAAGUUCUGUCGGUGAGGAGGCGUUAAUCACAGAGGAAGCCCCGGCUAACUCCGUGCCAGCAGCCGCGGUAAUAC
rnacentral:rRNA from 1 species